AAGUUGGAGAGGUUGUUCUUCCUCUUUCCUUACGGCACGGUCGAGGGAGGAACCGGGCCCGGAGGGGGUUGGGCAGGUGGCCCAAACCUGCCAGCCAACCUAGCCCCCGGGUCCAGCCUCCGCCUGAGACCCAUCUUGGUCCUCAGCGUUCUACACGUUUCUGCUUCCCCCUCCCCCCAGUUCCGUUGGGAAGUCGGAAUUUCCAGAUCUGCUCUGUAUAGGACUGUCGGUGAUCCGGCUGGAGACCUUGAGGUAAAUCAGCAUCAGUCUAAGGGCCUUGGUGCCCUGACUCGGAUCCCUGGAUUCAAGGAACCUGAAGACCCACAUCCCAGCUAUUCCUGUGAACCUGCCCAAGACCUCAAAUACCUCUUCAAGAAGGUGAUCCCCAAGCCAAGUGACAACCGCAUUGAUAAGUAACUCAUCUUGCUGCCCAUGCCAGAAGCCUGGAACUAAAUUCUGCAAUGCACCAGCGGUUGACAUCACUGCCAUUACCCCUAAUUUUAAUUGCGAAGACCAAACAGGCAACGCCACCCAUUGGUGCCUCCAAGAUCAGCUGGCCGGUGGGAUGUGUGUCUCCUGGACAGGCCUGGCGCCAAGCGUCUAACACACAUCUUCCCUGCGUGUGGUACAUGUUUUUUGCCUCUCCCAAAGCCUUCGAAAAGACUCAUACACCCUUAUUCAGUGGUGGGAUCCUCUCCUCCAACUGUACCGGAACCCCCGCCUUGGGCGGACUCUACUGAAGUGGUUUAAUUCCACAACAGUACGUCAGGCAUGUGCCCCUCUCAGACAUCUAUUCCUUUGUGGUCCAGGUGCAAACUGACUGUCCUCUUCAAAAAACCCCAAUUCCUCUUUCCCUUUCUUGGGAUUAGCUGUGGCCUUUCCUUGUAUAGACAGUGCUCUGUUUACAGGACAAUGUAACGCUAGGCCAACUGAGUAACCAAACAAACCCAGGUACUGCCAUCUAUAACAUCACCCACGCCUGGGGCAAAAGGGCAAUUGGCCUCCUUUCGCCAGGAAAUGGAGCUGCCGUUGGUUUGGUGGCCCCUUGGGGAGGCUUUGUUUAUCAUGAAAUGGUGCUCCGCAAUCUUUCAGUUGCCCUGUCCUGAGUGCAUCCACAGGGAAUGCACUCACCAGACUCUCAUUGUCUCUAAGUUCCUUGGCUAGUAAAGUGAUGGCUAAUAGACUGGCCUUGGACUUCCUCCAAGCCGAACAAGGAGGAGUAUGUGCAGUUAUCGAUACGACAUGUUGCACCUACAUCAAUAAUACUGGGCUAGUAGAAGAGGACGUCAAGAAAAUGUGACCACGCCAAAUGGCUUCAUUCCUUCGGACAGGGUAACCCAAGCGCUGACUAGACUGCAAUUGAGGUGUUACCAAGUGUGACCUGGUUCUUACCCCCUGCUUGGGCCUCUAGUUGCCAUAAUGCUUUUACUGAACUUUGGCCCCUGCCUUUUUUUUUUUUUUUUAAUUUAUUUAAUUUCUUUAUUUUUGGCUGCGUUGGGUCUUUAUUGCUGCGUGUGGGCUUUCUCUAGUUGUGGCGAGCGGGGGCUACUCUUCCUUGUGGUGUGUGGGCUUCUCAUUGCGGUGGCGUCUGUUGCUGCAGAGCACGGGCUCUAGGCGCGCGGGCUUCAGUAGUUGUGGCACACGGGCUCAGUAGUUGUGGCUCGCGGGCUCUAGAGCGCAAGCUCAGUAGUUGUGGCACGUGGGCUUAGUUGCUCCGCAGCAUGUGGGAUCUUCCCGGACCAGGGCUCGAACCCGUGUCCCCUGCGCCGGCAGGCGGAUUCCCAACCACUGUGCCACCAGGGAAGCCCUUGGCCCCUGCCUUUUUAAUCUGCUUGUUAAGUUUGCUUCCAGGUUGCAACAAUUCCACGUCAAGAUGAUAGUGAUGCAGGAAUUCCAGCCAUUCCCUGACAUAGAUCCUACCAGAAUAACAGCGGAAGUCACCCUGGGGCCCCUGGACAAGACAGGGCGAGAGUUCCGUGGCCCCAAUUAGGUAGGGUCCACGAGCCCAGUGCCAGCCUGAAGAAGCUGCAGAAGACAGACCUCCGCCCCUUAUCCUCCCAAUAAAGAGUUCUUGGGGUCCACGUCACUUGGGAGAUUUGAGGUAAGAGAUAGGUGGCUGAGCAGCUGCAACCAUUCUCCUGCUGACACUUCAAGAUAAGGUACUAGCAGGAGCUUCAGGCCCUGACUGGGUGGAAGACAAAGCGACUACAGUUUCCUCAUUCUUGUGGUCAAGGGGAUUUUCCAGCCCAACACAUCUGUUUCACAGUCUUGGUCUCUGCUGGAUUCUUGGUCUCGUUGGAUUCUUUCCUCAAAGGAGACAUCUGUAAGUCUCUGAAGUGCUUAGCAAUAAAGCAAAGGUGGUGA